rnacentral:rRNA from 1 species
GUUGGUGGAGUGAUUUGUCUGGUUAAUUCCGUUAACGAACGAGACCCCCGCCUGCUAACUAGUCGCCUUAAUGCCUAGCAUUGAGGUGUACUUCUUAGAGGGACUUUCGGUGAUUAAUCGAAGGAAGUUGGGGGCAAUAACAGGU